CCUACGGGGGGCAGCAGUGGGGAAUAUUGCACAAUGGGCGCAAGCCUGAUGCAGCCAUGCCGCGUGUGUGAAGAAGGCCUUCGGGUUGUAAAGCACUUUCAGUUGUGAGGAAAGGGAUGUAGUUAAUAACUGCAUUCUGUGACGUUAGCAACAGAAGAAGCACCGGCUAACUCCGUGCCAGCAGCCGCGGUAAUACGGAGGGUGCGAGCGUUAAUCGGAAUUACUGGGCGUAAAGCGUGCGUAGGCGGAUGAUUAAGCGAGAUGUGAAAUCCCGGGGCUCGACCUCGGAACUGCAUUUCGAACUGGUCGUCUAGAGUAUUGUAGAGGGUGGUGGAAUUUCCAGUGUAGCGGUGAAAUGCGUAGAGAUUGGAAGGAACAUCAGUGGCGAAGGCGGCCACCUGGACAAAUACUGACGCUGAGGCACGAAAGCGUGGGGAGCGAACAGGAUUAGGUACCCUGGUAGUCCACGCCGUAAACGAUGUCAACUAGCCGUCUGUUUCCUUGAGAAGUGGGUGGCGUAGCUAACGCGCUAAGUUGACCGCCUGGGGAGUACGGCCGCAAGGUUAAAGCUCAAAUGAAUUGACGGGGGCCCGCACAAGCGGUGGAGCAUGUGGUUUAAUUCGAUGCAACGCAAAGACCUUACCAUCCCUUGACAUCCACAGAAAUUUCUAGAGAUAGAUUUGUGCCUUCGGGAACUGUGAGACAGGUGCUGCAUGGCUGUCGUCAGCUCGUGUUGUGAAAUGUUGGGUUAAGUCCCGCAACGAGCGCAACCCCUAUCCUUAUUUGCCAGCGUGUAAUGGCGGGAACUUUAAGGAGACUGCCGGUGAUAAACCGGAGGAAGGUGGGGACGACGUCAAGACAUCAUGGCCCUUACGGGAUGGGCUACACACGUGCUACAAUGGCGUAUACAGAGUGCUGCAAGACCGCGAGGUGGAGCGAAUCACACAAAGUACGUCGUAGUCCGGAUCGGAGUCUGCAACUCGACUCCGUGAAGUCGGAAUCGCUAGUAAUCGUAGAUCAGAAUGCUACGGUGAAUACGUUCCCGGGCCUUGUACACACCGCCCGUC
rnacentral:rRNA from 1 species